rnacentral:rRNA from 1 species
GNAGAGACCGGCGCACGGGUGCGUAACGCGUAUGCAAUCUACCUUUCACAGAGGGAUAGCCNAGAGAAAUUUGGAUUAAUACCUCAUAGUAUAUAUGAAUGGCAUCAUUUAUAUAUUAAAGUCACAACGGUGAAAGAUGAGCAUGCGUCCCAUUANCUAGUUGGUAAGGUAACGGCUUACCAAGGCAACGAUGGGUAGGGGUCCUGAGAGGGAGAUCCCCCACACUGGUACUGAGACACGGACCAGACUCCUACGGGAGGCAGCAGUGAGGAAUAUUGGACAAUGGGCGCAAGCCUGAUCCAGCCAUGCCGCGUGCAGGAUGACGGUCCUAUGGAUUGUAAACUGCUUUUAUACGAGAAGAAACACUCCGACGUGUCGGAGCUUGACGGUAUCGUAAGAAUAAGGAUCGGCUAACUCCGUGCCAGCAGCCGCGGUAAUACGGAGGAUCCAAGCGUUAUCCGGAAUCAUUGGGUUUAAAGGGUCCGUAGGCGGUCAGGUAAGUCAGUGGUGAAAGCCCAUCGCUCAACGGUGGAACGGCCAUUGAUACUGUCUGACUUGAAUUAUUAGGAAGUAACUAGAAUAUGUAGUGUANCGGUGAAAUGCUUAGAGAUUACAUGGAAUACCAAUUGCGAAGGCAGGUUACUACUAAUGGAUUGACGCUGAUGGACGAAAGCGUGGGUAGCGAACAGGAUUAGAUACCCUGGUAGUCCACGCCGUAAACGAUGGAUACUAGCUGUUGGAAGCAAUUUCAGUGGCUAAGCGAAAGUGAUAAGUAUCCCACCUGGGGAGUACGUUCGC